UCUCCCGAGGCGGCCGCGCGGGUGAUGUCAGCUCUCGACGAAAAUAGAGAGGGAUCGCCUGCAAAUCCCCAGCUGCGGCGGGGCUAAACCUCGCAAUCCCUCCCCGGCGGCGGCGAGCCAGGGCGCAGCGGCCGCCACCGCCUCCCCCGGCGCGCACACACCCGCACACGCGCGCACGCACGCACACACUUCCCCUGCACACCCGCGGCACACCCCCUCCCGGGCCUCCCCCGCCGCCCGCCCCGAGCCCCGCAGCGCACGCAGGUGGCGGCCGCUGCCCGGCGGCCCGGGGGCGGCGCUGGCUCGGGGAAGCCACCCCCAGCCCCCCGAGCGCCCCGCCGAGCGCCGGCGAGGCGGGACGCGCGCGGAGGAGAGCCCAGCCGGGGCUUAGCGCCCGCCGGAGCCUCCCGCGCGGGCUGAGGCGCUAAAGGGCUUACCCGGGAGGGGGGUGGGAGGCGGGGAGAGGCUCCCCCUUAAAUAGCGCGCUCCGCCACUCUCCGGCGCUCACGCCGCGCCCGCCGCCGCCGCCGGACCGUGCCGAAGAGGAGGGGGCGUUCCCCGGACCAUGGCAUCCACCGAAGGUGCCAACAACAUGCCCAAGCAGGUCGAAGUACGGAUGCACGACAGCCAUCUCAGCUCGGAGGAGCCGAAGCACCGGCCUCUGGGCCUGCGCCUGUGUGACAAGCUGGGGAAGAAUCUCCUGCUCACACUGACCGUGUUUGGUGUCAUCCUGGGGGCAGUAUGUGGAGGGCUUCUCCGCUUGGCAUCUCCUCUCCACCCUGACGUGGUUAUGUUAAUAGCCUUCCCAGGGGAUAUACUCAUGAGGAUGCUAAAAAUGCUUAUUCUGCCUCUCAUCAUCUCCAGCUUAAUCACAGGUUUGUCGGGCCUGGAUGCUAAAGCCAGUGGACGCUUGGGCACGAGAGCCAUGGUGUAUUACAUGUCCACAACCGUCAUUGCUGCAGUGCUGGGGGUCAUCUUGGUCUUGGCCAUCCACCCAGGGAACCCCAAACUCAAGAAGCAGCUGGGACCCGGGAAGAAAAAUGAUGAAGUGUCCAGCCUGGAUGCCUUCCUGGACCUCAUCCGAAAUCUCUUCCCUGAAAACCUUGUCCAAGCCUGUUUUCAGCAGAUUCAAACGGUGACCAAGAAAGUCCUGGUGGCACCUCCAUCAGAUGAGGAAGGCAAUGCCACCAACGCUGUCAUCUCAUUAUUGAACGAGACUGUGACAGAGGCACCUGAGGAAGCGAAGGUGGUUAUCAAGAAGGGCCUGGAGUUCAAGGAUGGCAUGAAUGUCUUAGGUCUGAUCGGGUUUUUCAUUGCUUUUGGCAUCGCCAUGGGGAAGAUGGGAGAGCAGGCCAAGCUGAUGGUGGAAUUCUUCAACAUUUUGAAUGAGAUUGUAAUGAAGUUAGUGAUCAUGAUCAUGUGGUACUCUCCCCUGGGUAUCGCCUGCCUCAUUUGUGGAAAGAUCAUUGCAAUCAAGGACUUAGAAGUGGUUGCUAGGCAACUGGGGAUGUACAUGGUCACGGUGAUAGUGGGCCUCAUCAUCCAUGGGGGCAUCUUUCUCCCCUUGAUUUACUUUCUAGUCACCAGGAAAAACCCUUUCUCCUUUUUUGCUGGCAUUUUCCAAGCCUGGAUCACUGCCCUGGGUACCGCCUCCAGUGCGGGAACUUUGCCUGUUACCUUCCGUUGCUUGGAAGAAAACCUGGGGAUUGAUAAGCGUGUAACCAGAUUUGUCCUCCCAGUUGGAGCAACCAUCAACAUGGACGGUACAGCCCUUUAUGAAGCAGUGGCCGCCAUCUUUAUUGCCCAAAUGAAUGGUGUUAUCUUGGAUGGAGGCCAGAUUGUGACUGUGAGCCUCACGGCCACGCUGGCGAGCGUCGGUGCGGCCAGUAUCCCCAGCGCGGGCCUCGUCACCAUGCUUCUCAUCCUGACGGCUGUGGGCCUGCCAACGGAGGACAUCAGCCUGCUGGUGGCUGUGGACUGGUUGCUGGACAGGAUGAGGACUUCAGUCAAUGUUGUGGGUGACUCCUUUGGGGCUGGGAUUGUCUAUCACCUCUCCAAGUCUGAGCUGGAUACUAUUGACUCCCAGCAUCGAGUGCAUGAAGAUAUUGAAAUGACCAAGACUCAGUCCAUUUAUGAUGACAUGAAGAACCAUAGGGAAAGCAACUCUAAUCAAUGUGUCUAUGCUGCACACAACUCUGUCAUAGUAGAUGAGUGCAAGGUACCUUUCCCGUUCAUGGAUAUUGAGACCUGUAUAUAAUAGUGCAUGCUCAGUUUCCUAAGACAAGCACCAAAAGUCCUGCAUGUAUUAUUGUCACAUUUAUUUUUCUGAAGAAUCAUGUAACCCACGCUUCUAUGAGUCCCAGAUCAUCUAACUCUGUGUCUAACGUGGCAGAUCUAACAAAGAGCCAAUCGGUUGCUUGUUUCGUCCAUGUGAUGUAAAACAAUCAUUUUGACCACCCCCCCCCUUUCCACCCACUCCACAAAUUUGAUUGGUUUUCUUGAACAUUUUGCCGAAGAAUUUGUGGUUCUUAAGGCUUUGUUGGAUUUCAAAUAUUCUAUUUCUUGAAUGAAACACUAAGAGAAAUACCCAGAAUCACUCAAUAUAUGUAGCACAAGUAUUCCUACUUGCUGUAUAUUACAUGCUGGUCAAAAAUGUGCCCACACGACUUUGCGCAACUAUUUUUCUCUUAAUUAUUUUUGUGGGAAGGUGAGUUUUGACCUUGCAGUCACUGUGCUCCAAGAAUGGGGAAGCUGUUUCAAGUAAAGGAUAUCUCUCCCUCAGGACAAUCAUCCCAUAGCCACUACAUUUCACACAGUGGUGGCACCAUCUUUCUUGAAGCAUGGAUGUUCUGGACUCUUUUCCAAGCUGCUGGGUACUAAGUCUUCAAGCUUGAUGGGCUCCGUCUAGCCUUCAUUGUAACUAACUUGACAUUGUCAAAGACAGAGUGUCAUGACCAGAGUGAAGCAAACUUGGAGAAACCCUGGCAGGUGAGCAGAGUCAACUCUGGGAGUUGGGUUGCCCAAAUGGUUCCAAGUAGCAUCUGAAGGCAAUCGGCACCCAGUACAGGUUUCUGAUAUUCUUUUGAUUCCUGCUGACAGGAUCUUAUUUAAUAGUUCAUUUCUCCCUGGGUUACUUCUGGGUCAUUCCAAACAUACACAUGGCCUCUGCCAGGCAAAUAAGGGUGACACAGAAGUGAUUCUCUUUACUGGAUUGUAACAUAGGUCCAGAAGUCUAAUGGGCCAGCAGUAGUCUUUUGCUCAUCCCCUCUCUACCGGGUACACGUGUGGGUGAACCAAGGCUCUGGUACAAAUUAAGGAAGGACUUAGCCAUCAAGAGCAACUGCAAAAACUAAUUGACUCAGUGAAAAUGAUUCAAAUUAUUCGAAAUUCAGAUGUAUCCAAAGCGCAUAUUCCAUUCUCCUAGGAAGUUAGCUCUUCCCACGUCUAGAUGAAUGUGCUGGAUUAUUCCCCGUCAAAAUUUAGGUCAACAAGGGUCCACAUUCUCAUGAAAUGGCUCUGUGCUCUAUUUAACAAGUAUUUAUUGUGUGCCUUGUGGGGUUUAGUUAAGCAUCUCAUUCCUGUGACCUCCUAUAUUUUGAUCAUUCAUCAGAUAUUUAUUGAGUGCCCGUUACCUGCAAAGCCCUGAAAUAGGCAAUGGGAGGACAGAAAAGCGAAUGUACAAUUUUGUAGGAAAGAGAAGGGUUGAUUCCAAGUUACUGCCAUACAAGGAAAAAGAAUAGCAUGAAAUAAAAUGAAAUCACCAUAUAUUUUUACAUUUUGCAGUUAUUUGUAAGAAGAAUCGUAGUGACUAACUGCCUGUGGUGUGGCUCUUUUGGAGCUUCUCAAGAGGCUUCCUAAUAGUGUUAGAAGGACAUGUUUUGAAAAAGAUGGUAUAUAGAUAUGGAGAUACAUUUAGAUUUCAGACUUCCUGGGUUCUUUUUCUUAAAGGACAUUAGGAGAAGUUUGCUAUGUUCUUAGAGCAAGAACAACUCAAGCCCCCUAAAGGAAGAGAUUUGUGAACUGUCCCUAUCACUAGGAAGCAAGCCCAUGAGGAGAGACCCUGUUUCCGCAUUUAUCACUGCUGUCUCCCAGCACCUAAAGCAGUACCUGGCAUGCAGUAGGCGCUCUAUAAAUAUUUGUUGUAUGUAUCCUUUUAGCAUCUUGACCCUGUGCUUUGUUUCAGACAACCUUGUUGCUGACCAGUUCUGUAGAGAUACUGGCUUAGUCCGUUUCUAUAACUGACUGCCUACCCAACCACCUGCAAACUUGGUGAAUUAGCAUUUACAUGGUCGAAAGGACACCGAGCAGGUCAGGGACAUGCCGAAUGGCCAUGUUGAUUUAAUAACUAUCUGGCCAUUUGGAUUUUUUAGUGAAGUCAUUGGGUUCGGCUCACCGAAGGUUAGUUGGCCUCAGCCUUUGCGAGGUGAGGCGAACACCUCUUCCCACCUAGACCAACGAAACUGAGUUGCCACUGAUGCACGAGAGGAGGCAGCCAGAGCCAUCAUGAUGAAUUUGCACACUUUCCCGGAAUAUCUGAGUCACAUUUAUUCCUGCCUUUGAACUUCCUUCUGGUCCAUUCUCCGUCUCACUGUUUUAAAAACCAAGAUGGGAGACGUCAAUGCUUCCUGUCAGCCCCCUCUCCUUCCUGCUUUUCUAUUACCCAGGUGGUUGGAGCAGAGCAGGGUGGGAUGGACCGGGGAGUUAGAGUCCUGGCUUCCUUGAACCGGCUCAGAAAAAGAAAUGCCAAAAAAGGGGCUGUCCCGGCCACUUUCGAGACACAGGCCCCAGUAUUCAACAACAGUGACGGCCACAGCAGGGCACACCCCCCAGUGCGGCCUGGUGUUCCAAAGGCCGCACAGCAUGAUUUAUACUUUUGUACAGCUAUUGAUCUGGUUCAUCACAGAAAGCCAAAUAGGCACAUUCAAGGUCAGAGCGAACAGGCAGCUUUCUCCAGGCAGACAGUUUGUUCCUGGCAGUCUUUCCUGAGAGUUCACUGAAGGGGAAACAAAUUUGCUGCAGCUCUGGUCAAAAUGUUAACCACUUCGAGCGUUGCUACGUCAUGUUGGUGUCUGCUGUUUUCAAACUCUUGCCUUGUCCUUGUAGUUGGAAUUUACGUGAGAGCUUUUUAAUUGUCAUCAGAAUAACUGCAUGUGGGGUGGUCAUGGCUUGUUGCAUGGUCUUUCUAGAAAACUAUGGGCGCCCACUGGGGGGUGGAGAAACGAAUGGCUUCUGUUUUCAUUCGCUCGGUUUGUGAAGGGCACUUGUGUUCUGUUCCUAGCAUGGUAGUGUGUGUUCCUAACGCAUGCGUUUCGCUGCCUCUCGGGUUAAGAAGAUCCGAUUUCUUUCAAACAUUGCUGCGUUUGUCAUGUCUCCAUAUCCUAAUGCUUCCAUAAAUCCAGUCUCUCCAUUAUGUGGAAUAUCAGUCGUGGGUUUAAGUUUGCACAUGACGUUGAGGACAGACAGAUGGAAGGUAACUCUGGCAGCCAACGGAAAGUCAGCCGACGGCGGUGUUGAGGAAGAACCUUGGAAGCGUGAAAAAUAAGGAUAUGACUCUCAGCAAAUUCUUGAAUAAACUCCCCAGCUUAUCUUAUGGUAAAAGAGAGUUCAAAACAAGCUUUCUUUAAAAAGAAAAAAAGAUGCAUUUAUUUCUGUGUUUACUUAAUCCGUUAGCCGAGGCUUCGAGGAUCUGUUGUGAGUCAGUGAUAGGCACGGUGCUGUGUGUUUGCCAAGUCAUGCUUCGUAACCGUCUCGUUUUCUCACCCGUGUUAUUGUUUGGAUGGAUGCUGCUGGAGGAACCAGUUGGAACUGAACGCGCAUUCUUGCCGGCUUCCCUUUUCUCUCUAAAUGCAGAGCCGUGGGCGCUCUUUUCCCCGGGGGAUACGACUAAAGCAAUGUGGUACACUCCGGGGAUUUGGGAUGACAAGCAGACACUCAGCGUGUGAUCCCGUCAAGUGUUUUUCAUGCUUCCGCUUCAUUCCGCGCAAGAGAUUCUGUUAGAAGCCUCUAGAAGUUAAUUCUCUCGAAAUGUAGAGUUUGCCCAUGUGUUGAUUAAAAGCGAAUACCUGCCUUAGGGAACUCUGAUGAUCUAGCUUAUAUAUAUAUAUAUAUAUAUAUAUAUAUACAUACAUAUAUAUAUAUAUAUAUAUAUAUAUACACACACACUCUUGAAACGAAGUAUUUCAUAGAAAAUUCUAGUGGGCACUGUGCUCCUCGCGACAAUUGAUCACGGAACCCGCUGAGUUUCUGCUCCACCCUUACCUAGUCUGUGGCAAUAGUUAUUGACAUUUCAAAGUAUGUUUCAUAAUUUGCUCCAAACUUGAUAAUGGAUUAGGAUGUAAUUUGCACAUAGCCGCUGUAUAUAUUGACAAAAGUAAGAGAGCACAGCCAACACAGACUUGAACCAGAUUCAAAUGAUCCAAUUUGUUUGGGUUUGGUUUGCAUUCACCUGACAUAGUGAAAUCAAGUGAGAUUAUUUGGUUUAUGCUUUCCUUUCUUUGCUUCAGCCCUCAAAUACUUUGUUUGGGUUUCUAACCAAAAAAAAAAAAAAAAAAAAAAAAAAAAGGCAUUUUUAAUCCCCAAAUUAUUUCAGUUAUAGCCUCAUUAACCUGGAAGACCUAAUCAUUUUACUCUCCUCACACAUGGAGGACAGUUAUGUUGGCUAUGCCUCUUUUAACACCACCUCUUGAUGAAAGCAAAACACUGUCAUUGAUCGAAUGUGUAGAAAGCUUUUGGUACUAUUCUCUCAACGCACAUAAAACCAGGUAUAGGGCACAGUUGAAAGCAGGGUCCGUCUUCUUCCCUAGUCUUCUCUGUAGCAAGGAACAGAAAACAAGCAUGGGCAAAUCCCUAUAAAGGUGACACUCCUGUGGCAAAGUCAAGGCAGCCUUGAGCCCUGAAAUGGGAGCAAAUGAUGACUCCUUCCAGCUUCACAGACGGAAUCUUUUCAAGGCUGUCACAGUUUGAGGGAGUCAGUAAUACAAGUGGAUUAGCACAGUGCCUUGUAUGCCACAGGCACCCAAUGACUCCGGAUGAGAGAUCGUGCAAGCUAAAUCUGUUGAUGUCGCUACUGUCAUUUUCCCGUUGAAUAACUCACAGUAUUUUCCUAAGGUUGCUGGCUUUGGGAGUUUGCUGGGAACUUGAACAUGAAUCACUGAGAAAUAAAGUACACUUGACUAACUCUGAAGAGUGUGUAGAAGCUGGGUCCACACGUAGGAAUCGGGUGGUCAUCAGAGGCCAGCAGAUGGGUGCUGGGGUAUACGUGAGUAGUCGUAGAGUUCAAAUUCUUUGGGGAGAAGGGGUGUAUAGAAUCCCAUAUGCUUUAUUACCUAUUCCUGAUGACUUUUCUUUUCCAAACCAGACACCUUUGGGACAUACAAGAGACGUGAGCUUCCCAUUGCUUUUGUCUCUGAAACCCUUGUUAUUUUUGGAUAAGGAUCACUAUUGAGCAGUAUUAAGCAGCUUUUUGCCUUUAAAAAAAAAUUGCCAUUGGUUCUUCAUUUUCAUUAGAUGGACAGUUGACUGGGUGGCCAAGGACGUGCUGAAAUGUAGUAGUGGAAAAUGCAUCCUUUAGAGCAGAUAUUGUGGGUCAAGGGGACAGUUCCUGGAUUUAGCUAUGAAACUGUUAUGGAUUGUCUUUAAGUGGUGCUCCCGAGAGCUUUUUUAUGGCGAAGAGAAGGAUCUAGGCAAGGCAGCGAGGAGUUUGUGGGUUUUGCUGUUUAAGGCCAGGUUAGCACUCGUACACGCUGACAUGUUUCCCGAAAGAGUGGUCUCAGGAUUGUCUUCCCAAGACUCUGCCUAAAUGUCUUCCUGCCUUGCUUUGUCGUCAGCAUUUUCCUACUUAUCCUAUGAAUACAUAAGGGGACAAUGAUUCAGAAGAAACAAGGUGUAUGCUUAACAAAGCAGGUUUUUCUGGUUUUAGACUACAUGUAAUAAAUUUCAUGAGAAUAUGCUUAGGAAAUCACAUUCAUCUGGAAAUUCGACACAGCACAUUAAAAAUGAAUAAUCUGUCAAGUUCAGGACUAACCUGAACAUCCAGGAUGUAGGUAGAGCUGACGUAUGACUGUGUUCUCUAUUUGUUUAGGUCUCAUUCAUUCUUCUUAUGCCAUGCCCAUUUGGCCUUUCCUUGCCCAUCAUGUGUGCCAUCAACAGAACAAACAGAUCCAGAGUAUACCUCCAAGACACUUUUUCUAAAUCAGAUCUGUAUAAUCUGUCAGUUAUAUGCAUAGAUUUAUAUUAAUAGGUUCAACACAGAUAUAAAUGCUUAUAACAGUCCAUUAAUAUUUGAUGAUGCAUAAAAGUUAUAUGCAGACACAGCAGGCCAGAACCAUACGCUCAUCCCAUGAGGUCAGUAAGUCAGGGCUUCGGCAACGCCAUUUUGUUACAGACCCAUUCAUUCUUCUUAGGAAUCCGCGUCAUUUUGAGAGCAAACCAACUAACCAGACUUUUAUCUUCCCCUUUACGAUUUUUGCCCACUGGGAAACCCAAGUAGAAUCAUCAUGUACUUACUAACUACAAUGCAAAGAGCCAAAUCCAGUCAGCAAGAAGAAUGGCUUAUCUCUCAAGGUGGGAUCUUUGAGGAUGUGCCUCCCAUAUAGAGUAUCAAAGAAUCAAGGCAAUCGUGUAGAUUAUGUAGAUCUUCAAUAUGGACUUCAAGUAAUAAGAUCUGAACCAAGUAGAUGUCAGAUUCAGUUAUUCACUUCCUGUUGUGUGUGGAAACACAGUCUAGGGUCUCAUUGCCUGCAGAAGUUACCUUGUCCGUAAAAGACAAGUGUGUGCUUCUCCCCUGCAACUACUCGUCAGCAGAAAGAAAGGGUACCCCAAUGCCUAGCUCCUGGAUUUAGACUGGUGGAAACUGACAAAGUCUUCAAGGAAAUUCAAUUUGUGGGGAGAUGUAUUCCUGGUAGGAGAUGUCAGGAAUCCCAAUGACUGGUUGAUUAGAGGGCCUCGGGUUAUUUCCAACCUUGCAUGGGGAAGUGGGUCAUUUGGCAGUGGGUCUCAUCAAGAAACCCUUUUGGAGUUGGGUAACUCCUCUGCCAGGUUUCUGAAAAGAAACCCAAUCCUGCCAUGUUUUUGCAACUGUCCCGCUUCCUUUAGUUUUUAGUAUAAUAUUUUACUUUUGUCAGGAUUACGGGUUCUGUCUGUGCUGUAUUUCCCCCAGGAAAUACAGCAGCAAGUCCAAACCGGUACGCACAUGCUCAGAGAGAAUUCUUCCAUAGUUCAGACUCUUGAGGAGCAGGUCUUUGUAGCCCUUGCUUGGCUUUAUGGCUAAAAGUGCUCAGCAGUUACACCCAGUGGAUGUGGCUCUUCUGUGCUGCUUUUUAAUUCUUAGGGCCAUAUAGUUGGUUUUACUUUCCUUAUUCUCCAAAUAAACUCAUUCCAAGCCAAGCAAAUGGACCAAUGAUAGAUUUUUUUUCAGUUGUCAUAAUACUUGCUCUUGGAAUAUUUGGGUCACAAGUGUACUCUUAACCCCCAUCACCUGUUUCACACACACCCCAUCUCCCCUCUAGUGACCACAGGUCUGUUCUCUAUAUUCAAAAUUCUGGGUUUUUUGGUGGUUUUUUUUGGUCUGUCUCUCUUUUUCUUCAUUUGUUUCUUAAAUUUGACAUAUGAGUGAAAUCCUAUGGUAUUUGUCUUUCUCUGGCUUAUUUCACUUAGCGUUAUACUCUCUCUGAGAACAUAAAAAGAUUAAGCAAAGAGCCUGAAGAAAUUCUGAAGUGAGAGUUUUGUAAAUCUAGUUGUCAGAGAUCAAUGGUCUCCGUAUCUCUGGUGCCCUCUGGUUAAAACCUAGGAUAAGGGCCGUUGAGCGCCACCCCAGGCAGGUGCCCUAUCGGCAGACUGUUCGCCUUAGGUGGAGCAAGUCCAAAGCUUCUCAUGCAACAGUAGCUUAUGGUUUUCCCAAAAGGAAAACCCAAGGCCCCACCCUUCCUCCUCCUUUCUUAUUCCACCUGCCAUCGUUGCUGCUUAAGAGACAAUUAAGUAGAAGACCACAUGUGUCAAUGCAAGAGUUGGCUUUAGAAAAGAUGGCAAGGCAUCUUAUUUGGACACUAUCCCAUUGCAUAGCAUAACACAACAAAUUCAGGUAAUGACAUAGGGAUGAUGAGAAAUGACCCAAUUGGGUACAGGAAACAUUUGACUUGGAUGGUGCCAGUUUGUAGCUGUAUAACUUACACAAGUCACUUUAUGCCCAAACCUCAUUCCUUCCCAUAUGUAAAGUGAAGGGGUCGGCUUAAGUGAUUAAAACCCUCUUCCAGUCCUGAGAAUCCGUGAUAUUAUGAUCUCUCCUUUAAUUUCUUAUUUUAUUAGAGGCUUACUACCGGAAAAUAUGACUUACGUAUCAUUUAAGUCGGAGUGGCCCACGAUGGCGAAUAAUCACUUUGGAUCUUUUUUCAUCCCCUUGAGGGGAUAUUAAACUCAAGCCUCUCUCUUCAUUUGAUGUUUUACAACAAGCUUGGAAGCUGGCCAUAUUAAUCCACAGUUUGUGUUUUGGGAUGCCAACAGACAUCCUUUUACAAAACUGCCCUUUGCCUAACUCACUGUCUUCGGAGAAGUAGCGAUUGAGCUCAGAGGAAACUGCUGCUUGGCCGAGGGGCAGGGUGCGUCCAUAGCUUCACUCAAGGCCUUAGAUCAUUCCUGCUGUAGCAACAGAGCCCCUUCCAAACACCCCAAACACGCGGUUUUCUCCAAACCGUCCUAAUUGCCAACCCAGUAUGGGAACUGGGGAGGCUUUGGCAAGUAAACUUGAACACUUUUAUGAAAUUUGGUGCAAGAUUUACAGAAUAACAGCAACCAUCUGUCACUAUCUUCCCUCUCUGCCUGUAUGCAGUCACACGCAUCCAAGCACAGGCUGAGCCUGGGCCAAGUCCUUUCUCUGGAGAGAUAAGCAGGGAUAUUUGAAUUCACUUUCAAAUUGUCCCCCUGGUUCGUUUUUAUCGUGGGCACCACAUUGAAGCUCUGUCUCACAAGAGAGGAGCUGGGCUGGUUACCAUUGCCCUCGUCAAUACCUCAGGAAUUUCUAAGGUAGAUAAAAUGCAUGGUCUGUCUGCAAGGUGCGUGCCACCAGCCGUGGCCUUUCAACACCCUCUCGCACUUUCUGGUACUGCUUGCAAUGGGCCGCUGCCUUCAUCCUCGCUCUGUGUCCAGACUUCUGCUAAAUAUGGAGUAGGUUUGGUAUUGAAUGUGCUGUGAGCACCUUUAUUGCCAGAGGAGUCUUCAGCCCUUUAGAUUUGAGGAACCAUGAUGUAAGACCGGGGCUGAAAGGACGGGGUUAAGUUUUCUGUGUUUGUUUGCUUUUUACGUGCAGAAGACCGGAUUGCGAGAGCAGCCAGGAAAAGGCUAUUUCUUAACUGACCCAAAUAAGAACCUAGAAAAGUGAGAGAAGCCCUCACGUUCUUCUUUCAUUCACUCAAAUUAUAUCCUGAAUAAUUACCGAUGAGUUUUUUUUUUUUUUUUUUCCCUGUGUCCAGCCUUGCUUCACCUUCCUACCUCCAAACCAAGUAUCCAUUUUUAUAUUUUUAUUCUUCUGAUUGUUAUACGGGGGCCCUUUUGUGCCGAGACUAAAGCUGAUACCGAAACAGACCCCACUGCUUUGCAGAGUCGACACAUGGCCUGGAGCAUGGGUAACGACAGGUCCCCAGUUUCUCCAGAGACACCCCCAACCCCUGGGUGAGUGUUGGAGCGUACCAGCUGACUGUUACCCUUGUCAUCGUUCCCCAUGGAGACCGGGGAUGACGAAGUCAGAGCCUUGCUCCUUCUGGGGCUCCGUUUCUCCCCAUGGCAACCAUUCAGCCUGCCUAGAAAUGGCUGUUGCCUUUGGUAGGAGAGAAAUGCACACACUAGCCAAGGAAGUUGGUCUAGCACAACUCAGGUUUCUCCUCCAUGGAGCGAAGCCUCUGAGAUGUGUGAUCAGAAAGCUGGCACUCUGGUUGCUUAAUACUCCGGGAGAGCAAUUUUCCUUACUAGGAACUCAACGUUGGGCAUCCAGAUCCUUCCACAAAUCACCUUAACUUCCUCUCUUCUUCCUCCCCUUUGGGAAACCUCAGCAUUGCAUAUUCCCAUGUUGCACAACACAGAUCAGAUUAUCUGGUCGCUAUAGAGAUUUGUAUAUAAAAGACUACUUUUGUGAGGAUUUUUGUAUAUUGUUUUUCUAUUUGUUUUCUACGGCUUAAGGAGAGAGCUGGCAAACUGUGAAUCUAAUUUGAUCUUGCUGCCAGCAGAUAUAUUUUGGCUUCCUGGUAAGAAUCGAUGUUACCAGGGACAAUACACUGCCCCCUGAUCAGUAUUCCACCCCCUACCCCCGCCCACUCACAAAUUCCUCCAGCCCGAUCUCACAUUCUUUUUUAAACAAAUCCCUGGGCUUCUUUGUUAUUAUUUAUAAAGAGCAUGAGCAAAUGUAUUUAUAGACCUGGAUAUUAUAUGUUUACUAUUGAUUUAGCCUUUCAUAAUGUUACAGGUUUGUAUCUACUCUUCAUAAAUCGUAAAGAACUCAGUGUAGACUGAAUUAAUCUAUGUAGUAUCUGUAAUUUUGCAGACAGAUAUUUUCUUAUGGUAUUUUCUAUAUGACCACAUAUGUAGAAUUAUAACUAAUUAGAGCGCAAGAAGUUUCUACAGCAAUUUAGAGCUAUCGCUUGUUUCCUGAGCAUAGAGCCACAUUUGAAAAAUUUAAGAAUCCAAUCCUUUGCGAUGCGAUGAGCAAAAUGACCAUAAAGGACAGGGAAUCACUUAAGUCUGUGAGCUGGUUAAGAUAUGCAUUCACCCAAUUAGUCUUUUUAACUUGAGGAAUGGUGCUAACUCCUUAUUUUUGACACCAGACCUCAUUUUUCCGGCUAAGCGUUCAAAUUUUGCAACAGCAAGAAGAUGAAAAACAAGGUGAUAAUAGUGGGACCAUUUCUAUAUCAGAACCUCCCCUGCCUUCCCAAUUAUUCGUGUGCAUUGGCUUCGGAAACCCUUGAAUAGCAGAGCUUGAGGGCAAGUGCUCGGAAGCAAAUCGAGAGAGAUUUGUUGCAGUUCCUUCUUGCCAAGCAAAUCGGAAGUAAAUGUCACGUGGUUAUGUGAAUUGAGCACAACGCUUUCAGAAAAAAAGUUGUCAGUACCAACUACGAAGCAAUAAUAACUCUUACCGCUGGGGCUGGAGGUGGGGGCUUAGAGUCAUCCUGAAAUUGUUGAGAAGCAGCCCAGGUAGGUUCUGUCCUCAGGUGAAUAUGUAAUUUCCCCAAAGGCAAAUCAGUAGCCACUGCAAAGACAAGGGGGGGGGGGUCUUCCUUCUGCCAAACACACCUUCUGAUACGUGUGUAGGGCUAGUAUUUUUGCCACGUUUAAAAAACAAAAUAGUUACAUAGAACGUGUACUGGUAUGUAUUUAAAACGGUUCCUCAUUAAGCAAACAGAUUAGAUGUGCCCUCAACUGGCAACGAUUGUACCUGUGAUUUUCAAGUACGGAUAGCCGUUCAAAGCAUGAAGUUCUUGUGUGUAUACAGUAACGCUUGGUUCGCGCAUGAAAAUCAGUGCCUAUGCACUUUGUGUAGCUAUAAUGUAGGUCUCCAUGUGUAAUUUCAGUGAAAUGGUGUAUAGACGUAUUUUAAUUUAAUGUAAAUGUUAUUUUUGGCUCUUCAUCUAAAUGCAGUAGACAUGUGGACUGCUGUUUUGAAAACCCUUCUUUUCCUUCUUAGAUGCCUAGUGAAUCACUUCUCCUCUUUUUAAAUGUGAUUUAGGGAUAUGUAUCAGUGAAGAGCUUAGCUGUGAAUCUUUUGUACCAAUGAUUGUUUGAAAGUCUGGGGGUCCAGCAUCUUUGUAAAUAUGCCAUUCAGAGCAAGGGAGGGCUGGAGGUGUGCCAUGAUCCUUAGUGAAAGGUCAUCUGACUUCUGUAUAAUGCAUGGUGAAUGCAGCUGUGGAACUUUGGAUUAUCUAGGCUUAGGUAGGUUUAGAAGGACACUUAGCUAUAGCCCUCCUUUGCUUGGCGGAUUGGACUCAGAGAGACAAAAGGUUAGUCUGCGUAUGUGCAUGCUAACGUCAUGUCCUUAGGUAAAGGUCUGCCUCCCUGGUUGCCAAAUACUGAUCAUGAUGCUCAUGACUUAAAGGUUCUGAAGAGCCUUGUCCCCCUUGGUUUCUUGAGUCAGGGUUACGGAAAGGGCAUUCACUGGCUAACCUCCGUGCAGGUGAAACCCCACAAAAGCACAGUCCUGGUAGCAAACUGCACAGUUGUCCGUUGAAAGAGCGCCAGAGGCACAGAAGCGGUCAGGGCACAGCUUUGAGGUUGCAGACAGGCAACUGAUGAAGCACAGAUCCCACAUAUGUGACGGGAGUGUGACCUCUACCUAAUAGGCUCUGUGUGCAUGUUUUCAGUGAUGGAGAUUAACUAACACAAAUAUACACUUGCCUCCCAAAACACACAUUCUGUCUAAUUACCACCAAAUGGAAUGCUCUGGAGUCGAUAGUUCCUAUAACCCCUUUCUUCUCUGCAAGGACAGAGAAAAGUGGCCAUGUGCAGUUGGGGACACUGGGUGUCCCUCUCUUUUCACAAAAGGAGUGAAGCCUAAGCAAUCCCAGGAGGGCACAAAGCACAUGAAUUUUCAGUGGCUUCUCCAAUGAUUGGAGGAAGGGGAUAUAUAGACAUAGAUAUAUAUGUAUACAUAUAUAUAUAUACACACACACACAUAUGGCGGAACAGGCACGUUUUUCCUUGAACAUGUGGCUUCUUCAACUCCGCGUCAGAUUUCGGUUGGAAGCCUUGCUGAAGGAAAGCUGGCCUUUAGGCAGGAUUUCCUCCGGAGAUGCUUGUGUGUCCAGAAUGAAAGAUAAUUGUUUCCCUCCCAUUCACAAUCCCCAUUGGUCUCAAGUCACGUAGCAUAGAGCAUCAAUAGCACGUAGAGUUUAAGGACUAAUGAAUGAAAAAAGAUAAAGAUGUCAACUAAUUUUGGGGUUGUUUCUUAAAUAUGGUACUAGGAGAUGCCUUGUUGGCAAAGCGCAUUUUGGGUAGCUGAGAUAUUUUGUUUUCACCUCUAGCUCUCUAAGCUUUCUUACCACGUGGACUGAUUACUGUAACAUUUCAUGUGUAAAAUAAUUGGAUAUUCUUUAUAUACUGGAAAUGAUCUGUGAAUCCGAUAUUUCACUAAGUGUUUUAACGCUUGUGUAUAUAUCUCUCAUCAAUAAAUGUGGAUUCCAAUUUC